UAUUAUAAAAUAUAAAAAAAAAAAAAGAAUUUUUUUUAUUUAACUCUAGAUCCAAGCCCAUUUAUUUUUAUUUAACCUAAUUUUCUAUUAUAUAUAUAUACUAACAAUUACUAACUUUGGGGGCAGGUACAAAUUCCAACCCUAACAAUUAACCCUAUUUUUUGAACCCUUAUUUACAAUCUCUCUCCAUUCACGUAGAAAUUUCACAAAAAACAGUCAACCCGAUUUCUAACCCCUUCCACCAUUCACACGUACAACAAAUUUCUCAGUCACACUGUACAUAUUUUAACCAAGGAUCUCCACCUUUUCUCCCUUUCUCCAUCACGUGAAUAUAAUUGUCCACACCAAAACUUUAACCAUUCACGCAUCAUAAAACGUUCAGACAAAUUCAAUAACACAAGUCUAUUGAAUCAUUCAAUCCUAUUAAACAAUUGCAGCAACCUUUGUUCAUGUUUUCUUGCAGUUGCAGAUGCGAAUCGGAAAGGGAAGAAGAAUCUAGGGAGCAUAAUCAUGACACCGCUCCGAUCACAAGCUCAGACGAAGCCAAGCCGGUCUCGGUGGACAAGACACAUAGAUUCGUCGGCAACGACUUCGACGUAACUACACGAUCCUCCGCUGACAACCGCAACCCCCACGGAAACGUCAUGAUGUCCAAGCACCGCCGGAUCUAGGCCGUCCAACCACCAUGCGCGGAACCGAUCGCAAAAAGCUCUGGCCGACAGCCUCAAAACUGCCGUUCCAACACGAUUUCCUCCAUGGAUCUCCGAUUCGGAUCCUUCCACCGCCAACACAGAAAUAUGACUGCACGGUACAUUUGCUGUUCAUCUAUUCUCAUGGAUAUUUGCAAAUUCAUCAUCAAUCUCCGCCACUGGAUCUCGCUAAUUCCAGAUUUAAAGGUCCUGAAAGCGCUGUCCACCAUGCACCUGCAGGAACCUUACCACACAGGAUCCACGCCCAGGGUUACCCCCGAGGCUUUCCGCCAACCAUAUCAUAUCAAAUUCGAAGCUAAGUUCCUUUUAUUAUUCUUUUAUUUAUUAAUUAUUCUUUUUACUUUUAUGGUUGAUAAAGUUCGCCUUCGAACCGAUAAUGCACUCACUCUCUGUUUUCUGUCUCUUCUUUUUCCUUUUCAAGAUUUGUCAAAUGCCAAAGCUACGUCGUUGGUAACCCUAAACCCUAUUUUAUUUUAUGGCUUUUAUUAUUACUUGUGCCAAACCCUGUUGGGGAUCCGCUGGUUUCACUUUCCCCUCCCCUUUAUUGCUUUAUAUACUACGUGGUUAGUAAUUUAGGGAGUCAAAUUUAAACUGGAUUAGAGUCACUAAUUACAAGAUAAAUAACUGAAUUGAACCACAUGAUUGAUGCACACACGCACUCUUUUGGGGUAACCUCUCUGUUGCCUUGUUGCCUGUUGCCUUGUUGCCUGUUGCCUUUGUGUUUUUUUUUGCAGAAUAAGCCAUGUCCCUCGAAUACGAGGAUACCUCAGCCAUGCUGCCUCGAUAAAUAAAGGUCAUGCGACCCUAAAUGAUGCUGCCUUCGAUACACAAAUAUGACCUCGACCCUCGGAAGUUGCCUACGGAAAAGGCUGAGGUAUCCUCUGGUUGCCUACGAAUAAGGCUUAUUCUGAUCCUUACCUUAGACUACCUGCCCUUCUAUGGCAUGGGACAGUCUUAUGGCAAAGGAUGUUUCGACGACCCUUCAACCUCCAAAGGAAAGGCUUCCUGCCCACUUAUGGCAAGGAUUGACCCUUUCAUUCUGAAAGGCUAAAAAGAGACCUAUCAUCUGAGUUUAAGGUAAUUGCCCCUAAUUGCCUUGCCAUGCUCUAUUUUCUAUAUUCUUUCUCAAAAUUCUUCAAAAACUGGCUACGCUCAUUUUACGAGCUAAAGUCCAUUUUUUCCUCUUUCAUCUACAUUUUCUGAAAACGAGCAAGCAAAGCAAUUAAGAGCCCAUGGAAAACCAUGGAUGCAAAGGGUGCCUUACACCUUCCCUUUGCAUAAAUUACCCCCCGAACUUAGAUUUCUUUUAAAGGUUUUUUCUGUUUCUUUUAGCCUUUCUGAAUUUGUUUGGAUAAAAUAAAAGUCGGUGGCGACUCAUGCUUAACCGCGACAUUUCGAUCGAUAAAAAGUCAGUUCACCGUAUUACAGAACUGGCGACUCUGCUGGGGAAAAUUCGAUAAAAGAGGGGUUACCUUGAAAGUUUAGGAAUCACUUAAAUGUUUUCUAUUGUUUAUUUUGUUUGUUUUAUUUUUCAGGGGCGUUUUGGGAAAAUUGAAGGACGAAUCCUAUUCCCGGAUUCAAGAACACUUAAGUUUAGGAGUGGCAUAGUCAUGGAGGCCUCUUUCACAUAUGUGGGAGAUGAGUCAAUAUGAAGUUCACGCUUGAGUUAGGACUCCAUAGCAUAUGCACACCUUUCUCAAAUGAGGGAGGUCUAUGUAUGUGUCUGUGGGUGCGCCGGAGCUCAAGGACCUUUAGUUACCUUUAACCCAUCCUGGCCUUUAGGAACGUAGUGGGGGGACUACUCUUGACAAAUGUUGAGAACUAGUCGCUACCCGAUGCUACAAUUCAGAUAGGUCCUUUCUCAAAGUAUCAUUGCAUGGUGCAAAUGCAUCAUGUCCGAGGGUGCUUUAGAAGGGCUGACAAUUCUGGAUAACUUGUAGAACCCGUUGCUGAAAUCUCCUUAUCCAUAGAAAUACCCUUGGGAAGGACACCUGAUCAGACCCCAUGCAAGCCUUAAGCCAAAAAUUGUGUGACUUGCGUGACUUGCCUGUGUUUGCUACUAACCUUCGUUUCCUUGCAGGUUUUGUUAAAAGGACUUGUUUGUCCUUACUAUCUCCCACUAUGUCUAAUGAACUUCAUUCGCAUAACAUCAUGACAUCAUAAGCAUAACAUAAUUAACUAACCCUUUCAAGGAUCUUAGGAAUUUAGGGAGCGCAAUUUCAGGUGCUCUUAUCAAGGACCGAAUUCCCAAUCAAGUGGCAAGAGGAUUUAUUUUCCUCUGGCCACAUACCUUCCAAUUCAAAGACACAAUACCUAUCAAGGGGCAAGAGGAUUUAUUUUUCUCUAGCCAUAUGCUUUCAAACUCAAAAGUAUAAGUAUCCCGAAUCAGAGGCUAUGACCCACUGGAUAUGGUGAGCUUGAUUCCCAUGGAAGAACAUCCAAGAAUCAGAGUUCUUCGAACAAAGAUGCGACCAAACCAUUUUCUGAUGUUGCUAACCAAAUUCCUAAAGAUCAUUGAAAAGAUUGCAUUUGCAUUCAUAACAUCACAUAAAACUAACUUUUCCUUUCAGGUCGACCAACUGGUCAGAAAAAUACCAUCAACAAAUCAAUCCUAAUCAGAUGAACAUUCUGGAAGCUUGAUCCCCAGACUUCUGAAACAUUCCAAUCAGAUGAACAUUCUGGAAGCUUGACCCCCAUACUUCUGAAACAUUCCAAUCAGACAUACAUUCCGGAAGCUCGAACCCCGGACAUUCUGAAAGUUCCAAUCAGAUGAACAUUCUGGAAGCUUGACCCCUAGACUUCUGAAACAUUCCAAUCAGAUGUACAUUCCGGUAGCUCGAACCCCGGACAUUCUGAAACAUUCUUAUCAGAUACACAUUCUGAAAGCUCGAACCUCGAAUACUCUGAAUCUCUAUGCUAGUUCCACAAAGACGCAAGUCAGAUGCACCUAAGCGUCAGUUCACGAAGGUCAACAUGUCACUGGCUCAGGCAUUACAAUAUUUGUUGAAAGCAAACUUGAUUACUGUGAGGGAUCCUCCUGUAAAGCCCAACACUUCCGCUCCUAGCUAUAAGCCCAAUGCGAGGUGCGCAUACCAUUCCAAUAGCCCCGGACAUGAUACAAAUGACUGUUGGCCAUUGAAGAACAAGAUUCAAGACAUGAUCGAUGCUGGUGAAAUUGAAUUCAAUCAUCCCAGGGCUCUAGUGGUGAUCACCGCUCCCAUUCCUAGUCACGACAAGACUGACUAACGUCUAAGUGGAUGAACUUUUAAUCAUUAGCUUUACUUUCAUUUGCAAUUUCAAUUCUGUUUGUUUAAACAUUCGAAUUAUGAUAGACAUUAUCUAUUUUAAUAAUCAUCAUCAGUGCAUUGCAUAUGUUUGUCUUGAAUAAAUUAUUUCGCUAUCACUCAUCUAAACUACAUCUUUACUUUGCAUAUGUUUUGUGAUACUCAACUCCUGCUAAGCUGUAAGCCUUUUGAGGGAGGAUGAAGAAAACGAUACCGCAACCUCAUACUGUAUGCUUUUGAGCAGACUAUGCUGACGAUGUACAGGCAUUGUUUCAAUUCCUAAACAGUGGAGAUAUAAGGAUGUUAAUCCCUCGUCAACCCCUUUGAGCCUAAGGAGUAGAAGUUUCUUUCUUGUACUAAUUAAAACCCUUGAUCAUAACCUGGGGCAGGGUAGUUCUCAGUUAAUUUGGCUGUGCAUUCUAUUUUAAGAGAAUCAUUCAGUACACCUUUCAACAAAGGUCUCAAUCACAAACGUUCAACCGCACACAUCAAAGAAGUGUUGGAAAUGUCAAUCAAAAGACAAUGACGGUUCAUCAAUCAUCAAACAAGGCAGUCAAUAUCUUUCAAAAAAAAAUGGAAAAAACAUAUAUACAAAGAAAAGCCUGCUAAGUCAAAAAUCAAAAAGAUGGCUUAGGCAAAAAUCAAGGCAUCCCGCUGACUGUAAGCUCAAAAGAGACAGUUCAGGCAAAAGUUAGGGAUAUCAAAAGAUGAAAGAAGAGAAGUCAAUAAAUUCCUGAACAACACAAUGUUGUGACUACCAAAAGGAAGAAGUGACUGCCAUCUCAAAAGUUCUCUCUGCUUGUAAACCAUCAUCAUUAUCAAAGGUGCAAAUCCAAAAGUCUCUUGGAACCUGAAUGCAUAAGUCGAAUCAACUGAGCUUAGGGUUGAAGAUCAUCACGAAGAGGGGUGGGUACAAUCAAAUUUUAAGCCUUUGUCCUAUGUUUCUUAAACCGUGAACCAAGCCACGUUACAACCCUUGAAAGUCCUAAUUGAAGCAUGGUUAGUUCGAAAGCAUACUGUCACCAAAAGGUAUCCUGACUCCUUAAGGUUUACCAUCAAUGCUGAGUUGAUAUCAAGUUUUUAUAAACAUCACAUUGUUACAAAUAUCACGUUUUUAUAAACAUCACGCUUUUACAUCUCCUGUUUUAAUGUUUUUUAACAAAAAUCAAGACAAACGUAUGCAUUGCAUCUCAUGAAUUCAUUAUUAAACAUAUUCUGCUACAUAAUUUCAAAAGUUAGCAUCAGAAAGAACUUGCACAGGGUACAACUAAUGACUGAAAGUUAUCCCGACAGACAAAAUUAUUCCGAAAAGCAAUGUCUCCUACGUAUACAAGGGGCAUGGCACGCUUCGCCCAAUCCAUCUGGGGCAAUCAAGUCAAGAGUCGAAGAAUCUCUCAAAAUGCCAAAAAGUCAAAGGCAUACAUCCCAAGUGGACUUAAAACUAUUUCCCGAUCAAUCUGGGGCAAUCAAGUCAAGAUUUUGAGAAUCUCUCAAGGGCGCCAAAACAAUCAGGGGCAUGCAUCCAAAUAGAUCUGAAGCUACUUCCCAACCAACAUGGGAUAUUGUCUUUGGUCUAUGAUUACUAGGGGCAUGUCGCCCAUAGUACGCAUCUCAUAAAGUCCUCGCGAGGCAAAUCUUUCCAAGUUCCUACUAGCAGGGGCAAACCUAUGCAAGGCCAGUUUGACACUUCGAUCAGUAUUUAUUGGUGUGUCCUAAUCAAUACAAAUCCAUUAAUGGCAGCUAUAAUACCGGGGGCAACUCUCAAGACACCCAUGUCCCCCCACAGAGCCAGGUUCAUAAAAUCACAUCCCCACAGAGCAAUCCUUCAAGAAGAUAUCUUCAAACAUACUCGUCCCGACCAAUACAUGGCUCCCCAACAGAGUUGACAUCUUCAACACCACCGACACUUUGUUCUUCUCCAACAUGGCUUACUAAUAUCUUUCAUCCCCAGUCAGGAUCCAUCAAAUUACUAUUCAUCCCCAAGCAGAAGUCAUAAAUCCCCGGCUACAUCUCUUCAAAACAAGAUCAAAUCACAAUGAUACAGAGAUUUAUUUUCUCAGAACAACAUCAGUCAGGCAUCAUAUACAUCACAUGCAUAUUCAUACAUUGCAGGCGAUUACAAUUCAUACAUAACAUACAAAGCGUUCCAUUUAUUUUGAGAACUCCAUCUCAUUCAUUACAUACAUCAUAAACAUUGCAUAAAACUGACAUUGUUCCCAAGUGAAUAUUAUCUGACAGGUACAUUACAAAGAUUCGAAUCUUAUUCAAAGCCUAACGCACGGCAUUCCAGACAUCUACGGAUGCAAUUUGGAUUAGUCUAACGCACGACUCAUCCAUCAGCCUAACGCACGGCCUUCCAGACAUCUACGGAUGCAAAUUGGGUAGUCUAACGUACGACUUAUCCAUCAACCUAACGCACGGUUUUCCAGACAUCUGAGGAUGCAAUUGAGAAUAGUCUAACGCACGAUUUAUUCUUCGACCUAACGCACGGUCUUCCAGACAUCUACGGAUGCAAAUUGGGUAGUCUAACGUACGGCUUAUCCAUCAACCUGACGCACGGUUUUCCAGACAUCUGAGGAUGCAAUCAAGAUUAGUCUAACGUACGACUUGUCUUCAGCCUGACGCACGGUUUUCCAGACAUCUGAGGAUGCAAUCAAGAUUAGUCUAACGUACGACUUGUCUUCAGCCUAACGCACGGUUUUCCAGACAUCUGCGGAUGCAAACUAGAAACAGUCUAACGUAUGACACAUUCUAACUCUCGAGCUUAUCAAGUCAGAUGGCGUCUUUAAGCCCAUCUCUAAACAACUACUCCUAAAACACUUCAGUCUCAACAUCUGGAUGGCAUCUUUAAGCCCAUCUCCGACAAAAGUCCCUACUUCAGCUAGGGCAAAUUUCUUGGUAUUCUAGUGUUCAAUCAUCUUCCACCUUCAGAUUCCGACUGACACACAAGUCAAUCUACAUCCUCAGGUUUAAGAAGAUUGAACAGGGGCAGCUGUCAUACCCCAAAAUUUGCCCACGAGUUCGAAUCCCACUACUGACAGUUUUUUUUUCUACUAACUUAACUUCCAUUUUUAAAUUACUUUUUCUUAAAAAUCACAAAAAAAAAGAGGUUUUAAUAUUUAAAUGGUAUUUUCAUACUUUUAUUAUUUAUUGCUUAUUAAAAGAUGUUUUUUACUUUAUUCACAUUUUAUUCAAAAAAACAAACAAAAAAAAUCAUAAAAUAAUAAAAAGAUUUAAAAAAAUAGUUUUUUUAUAUAUAUAGUUAAGUGUUAAUCUUUGUUUUAUGCGCACUUUAGGUAAUAUUAUAAAAUAUAAAAAAAAAAAAAAGAAUUUUUUUUAUUUAACUCUAGAUCCAAGCCCAUUUAUUUUUAUUUAACCUAAUUUUCUAUUAUAUAUAUAUACUAACAAUUACUAACUUUGGGGGCAGGUACAAAUUCCAACCCUAACAAUUAACCCUAUUUUUUGAACCCUUAUUUACAAUCUCUCUCCAUUCACGUAGAAAUUUCACAAAAAACAGUCAACCCGAUUUCUAACCCCUUCCACCAUUCACACGUACAACAAAUUUCUCAGUCACACUGUACAUAUUUUAACCAAGGAUCUCCACCUUUUCUCCCUUUCUCCAUCACGUGAAUAUAAUUGUCCACACCAAAACUUUAACCAUUCACGCAUCAUAAAACGUUCAGACAAAUUCAAUAACACAAGUCUAUUGAAUCAUUCAAUCCUAUUAAACAAUUGCAGCAACCUUUGUUCAUGUUUUCUUGCAGUUGCAGAUGCGAAUCGGAAAGGGAAGAAGAAUCUAGGGAGCAUAAUCAUGACACCGCUCCGAUCACAAGCUCAGACGAAGCCAAGCCGGUCUCGGUGGACAAGACACAUAGAUUCGUCGGCAACGACUUCGACGUAACUACACGAUCCUCCGCUGACAACCGCAACCCCCACGGAAACGUCAUGAUGUCCAAGCACCGCCGGAUCUAGGCCGUCCAACCACCAUGCGCGGAACCGAUCGCAAAAAGCUCUGGCCGACAGCCUCAAAACUGCCGUUCCAACACGAUUUCCUCCAUGGAUCUCCGAUUCGGAUCCUUCCACCGCCAACACAGAAAUAUGACUGCACGGUACAUUUGCUGUUCAUCUAUUCUCAUGGAUAUUUGCAAAUUCAUCAUCAAUCUCCGCCACUGGAUCUCGCUAAUUCCAGAUUUAAAGGUCCUGAAAGCGCUGUCCACCAUGCACCUGCAGGAACCUUACCACACAGGAUCCACGCCCAGGGUUACCCCCGAGGCUUUCCGCCAACCAUAUCAGAUCAAAUUCGAAGCUAAGUUCCUUUUAUUAUUCUUUUAUUUAUUAAUUAUUCUUUUUACUUUUAUGGUUGAUAAAGUUCGCCUUCGAACCGAUAAUGCACUCACUCUCUGUUUUCUGUCUCUUCUUUUUCCUUUUCAAGAUUUGUCAAAUGCCAAAGCUACGUCGUUGGUAACCCUAAACCCUAUUUUAUUUUAUGGCUUUUAUUAUUACUUGUGCCAAACCCUGUUGGGGAUCCGCUGGUUUCACUUUCCCCUCCCCUUUAUUGCUUUAUAUACUGCGUGGUUAGUAAUUUAGGGAGUCAAAUUUAAACUGGAUUAGAGUCACUAAUUACAAGAUAAAUAACUGAAUUGAACCACAUGAUUGAUGCACACACGCACUCUUUUGGGGUAACCUCUCUGUUGCCUUGUUGCCUGUUGCCUUUGUAUUUUUUUUUGCAGAAUAAGCCAUGUCCCUCGAAUACGAGGAUACCUCAGCCAUGCUGCCUCGAUAAAUAAAGGUCAUGCGACCCUAAAUGAUGCUGCCUUCGAUACACAAAUAUGACCUCGACCCUCGGAAGUUGCCUACGGAAAAGGCUGAGGUAUCCUCUGGUUGCCUACGAAUAAGGCUUAUUCUGAUCCUUACCUUAGACUACCUGCCCUUCUAUGGCAUGGGACAGUCUUAUGGCAAAGGAUGUUUCGACGACCCUUCAACCUCCAAAGGAAAGGCUUCCUGCCCACUUAUGGCAAGGAUUGACCCUUUCAUUCUGAAAGGCUAAAAAGAGACCUAUCAUCUGAGUUUAAGGUAAUUGCCCCUAAUUGCCUUGCCAUGCUCUAUUUUCUAUAUUCUCUCUCAAAAUUCUUCAAAAACUGGCUACGCUCAUUUUACGAGCUAAAGUCCAUUUUUUCCUCUUUCAUUUACAUUUUCUGAAAACGAGCAAGCAAAGCAAUUAAGAGCCCAUGGAAAACCAUGGAUGCAAAGGGUGCCUUACACCUUCCCUUUGCAUAAAUUACCCCCCGAACUUAGAUUUCUUUUAAAGGUUUUUUCUGUUUCUUUUAGCCUUUCUGAAUUUGUUUGGAUAAAAUAAAAGUCGGUGGCGACUCAUGCUUAACCGCGACAUUUC